rnacentral:rRNA from 1 species
ACGAACGCUGGCGGCGUGCUUAACACCUGCAAGUCGAACGGAAAGGCCCUGCUUGCAGGGUACUCGAGUGGCGAACGGGUGAGUAACACGUGGGUGAUCUGCCCUGCACUUCGGGAUAAGCUUGGGAAACUGGGUCUAAUACCGGAUAGGAGCCAUCUUUAGUGUGGUGGUUGGAAAGUUUUUUCGGUGUAGGAUGAGCUCGCGGCCUAUCAGCUUGUUGGUGGGGUAAUGGCCUACCAAGGCGGCGACGGGUAGCCGGCCUGAGAGGGUGUACGGCCACAUUGGGACUGAGAUACGGCCCAGACUCCUACGGGAGGCAGCAGUGGGGAAUAUUGCACAAUGGGCGCAAGCCUGAUGCAGCGACGCCGCGUGGGGGAUGAAGGCCUUCGGGUUGUAAACUCCUUUCGCUAGGGACGAAGCUUUUUUGUGACGGUACCUAGAGAAGAAGCACCGGCUAACUACGUG